GACGAACGCUGGCGGCGUGCCUAAUACAUGCAAGUCGAACGCAGUGGGGACGGGGGAGUAACAAGUGGGUAACCUCCCAUCAGAGGGGAUAAAACUUGGCAACAGGUGCUAAAACCGAUACUGAUGGAUGGACCCGCGGUGCAUUAGCACGUUGGUGGGGGAACGGCUCACAAAGGCCACGAUGCAUAGCCGACCUUAGAGGUUGAUCGGCCACACUGGGACUGAGACACGGCCCAGACUCCUACGGGAGGCAGCAGUAGGGAAUCUUCGGCAAUGGACGAAAGUCUGACCGAGCAACGCCGCGUGAGUGAAGAAGGUUUUCGGAUCGUAAAACUCUGUUGGUAGAGAAGCGGUAUCUAACCAGAAAGCCACGGCUAACUACGUGCCAGCAGCCGCGGUAAUUC
rnacentral:rRNA from 1 species